rnacentral:siRNA from 1 species
GGACACGUCCAUGCUUCUUAGC